rnacentral:rRNA from 1 species
GUAGGUGGCAAGCGUUGUCCGGAAUUAUUGGGCGUAAAGCGCGCGCAGGCGGUCCUUUAAGUCUGAUGUGAAAGCCCACGGCUCAACCGUGGAGGGUCAUUGGAAACUGGGGGACUUGAGUACAGAAGAGGAAAGCGGAAUUCCACGUGUAGCGGUGAAAUGCGUAGAGAUGUGGAGGAACACCAGUGGCGAAGGCGGCUUUCUGGUCUGUAACUGACGCUGAGGCGCGAAAGCGUGGGGAGCAAACAGGGAUUAGAUACCCUGGUAGACCACGCCGUAAACGAUGAGUGCUAAGUGUUAGAGGGUUUCCGCCCUUUAGUGCUGAAGUUAACGCAUUAAGCACUCCGCCUGGGGAGUACGGUCGCAAGACUG